AUUGAACGCUGGCGGCAGGCCUAACACAUGCAAGUCGAGCGGCAGCGGGAAAGUAGCUUGCUACUUUUGCCGGCGAGCGGCGGACGGGUGAGUAAUGCCUGGGGAUCUGCCCAGUCGAGGGGGAUAACAGUUGGAAACGACUGCUAAUACCGCAUACGCCCUACGGGGGAAAGGAGGGGACCUUCGGGCCUUUCGCGAUUGGAUGAACCCAGGUGGGAUUAGCUAGUUGGUGGGGUAAUGGCUCACCAAGGCGACGAUCCCUAGCUGGUCUGAGAGGAUGAUCAGCCACACUGGAACUGAGACACGGUCCAGACUCCUACGGGAGGCAGCAGUGGGGAAUAUUGCACAAUGGGGGAAACCCUGAUGCAGCCAUGCCGCGUGUGUGAAGAAGGCCUUCGGGUUGUAAAGCACUUUCAGCGAGGAGGAAAGGUUGUUGGCUAAUACCCAGCAACUGUGACGUUACUCGCAGAAGAAGCACCGGCUAACUCCGUGCCAGCAGCCGCCGUAA
rnacentral:rRNA from 1 species